AAAUUAAUUGCACACAGAAAAAAAAAAACUUCUGUUGAAAAUAAUCUUUAAAUUUGUGAAUUAAGAAACAAAACAGUUCCAGUGGGAUGUGCCGUCAUCUGUGUUGUUCGUAACAUGGCCACUGGGUGGCGCCAAAGUCAGAAAGAAUGUUGCGGUUUGCCUCAAAUAUAAACACUUCACAGUUACUCUUUAUAUACUAACUUUAUGAUAGUGAAAAGUAAAACAAGUAAAGCCAAAGCUCAAGUGUCCUAAGGGAAACACCUCUAAUUACAAUGAGAUUACAUAGAGGUCUAUGGCGAAAUAAUCCUAUGCUUCCUUGUUCUGUGACCACAGUAAACGGUUUCCUGGUUAGUUUAUGGUCUCAGUCACUAGUUCUCAGUCUUAUUAAACACCAGCAUUAUGUUUAAUUCGUGAUUUAUGGUCCUAUUAAAAUGAAAAAGACACGACAGCCAUGCAGUGUGAUGAUCAUCCAGAUUCAUCCCUGUCUUGGAGUAUCUGGUUUCCAAAAUCUAACAGUGAGGACAAAAACAUUCAGGUGAAGUUUAAAAAAUGACGAUAUGACCAUACAGCAAAGAAACACAUGAUGUGGAGCUGUAAGAGGGAAACACAUUAAUAUUUUUCUUCCAUCAGUCCUACUGUAUGUUGUCCAGUUGCUAAAUCUUAAUUUAUUUCCUCAAAGAUCCAUUUUACACAGCUUCAGUUGGUGGUGUUUUAUUUUUUUCCUGAGUUACAGUUUAUGUGAUGUAGGAAACAGAAAUUACUCGCUGCUCUUCUCCAUCGCUGACUGAAGUUACACAAACAGCCCCAAAGUGUCUACUUGUAAUUCUACCCAAGACCCAUAAUGCACUGGGGGGAAUGAGGGUUUCUAUGGUGACUCCGACAGUCAACAAACAUGGCUGACACAGGGAGCGCUGACCAGCACGAACGAUCAUCAUGCCACGUCCCAACAUUUUCAGCCCGACAUCCAAUGAUCCCCAAACUCUACGUGAUGCCGUGGAAGCAGGACAUGAAGAACCGGAGACUCCUGAUGAAGGCAGGUGUCAGUCAGGAGAACACAUCCAAUCAGAUUUCUUUAUGGCAGAAACAAUGUUAUUAUUGAACGCAGCUCUGGCGGGGAUCCCCGUGGUUCCUCUUGAGGAGUCUUUGUGUUUCUGUGGUCGAGAACGUCUCUGCCACAGCCAGGACUCCGCCUACAGAACCACCUCUUCCUCCUCCUCACCUCCGUUCAGCCAGACAGGACUGCCCGCUCAUUGCUCCUCCCACUUCUCCAGGUAUAACAGCUCUGCGGUGACGACCAGAGGGCUUUUCCAAACCUGAGUACAGAUCACAGAAACACUAAUAAAACAUGCAUAUCUGAUAUAGAAACAAA